rnacentral:rRNA from 1 species
CUCAGGAUGAACGCUAGCGACAGGCUAACACAUGCAAGUCGAGGGGCAGCACGGGAGUAGCAAUACAACUGGUGGCGACCGGCGCACGGGUGAGUAACGCGUAUGCAACCUACCUAUCAGAGGGGAAUAACCCGGCGAAAGUCGGACUAAUACCGCAUAAAACAGGGGGCACCGCAUGGUGAUAUUUGUUAAAGAGAUUCGCUGAUAGAUGGGCAUGCGUUCCAUUAGGUAGUUGGUGAGGUAACGGCUCACCAAGCCGACGAUGGAUAGGGGAACUGAGAGGUUGGUCCCCCACACUGGUACUGAGACACGGACCAGACUCCUACGGGAGGCAGCAGUGAGGAAUAUUGGUCAAUGGGCGGGAGCCUGAACCAGCCAAGUCGCGUGAAGGGAAAAGAAGGAUCUAUGGUUCGUAAACUUCUUUUGCAGGGGAAUAAAGUGCAGGACGUGUCCUGUUUUGUAUGUACCCUGAGAAUAAGGAUCGGCUAACUCCGUGCCAGCAGCUGC